rnacentral:rRNA from 1 species
AGAGACUGCAAGCGUUAUUCGGAUUCACUGGGCGUAAAGGGUGCGCAGGCGGCCAAGUGUGUCAGGUGUGAAAUCCCGAGGCUUAACCUCGGAACUGCGCCUGAAACUACUUGGCUAGAGUACUGGAGAGGGUAACGGAAUUCACGGUGUAGCAGUGAAAUGCGUAGAUAUCGUGAGGAACACCAGAGGCGAAGGCGGUUACCUGGACAGUUACUGACGCUCAGGCACGAAAGCGUGGGGAGCAAAAGGGAUUAGAUACCCCUGUAGUCCACGCCCUAAACGGUGCACACUAGGUCUUGGCGGAUUCGAUCCCACCAGGGCCCAAGCUAACGCGUUAAGUGUGCCGCCUGAGGACUACGGUCGCAAGACUA